UGUCAGAUGAGCCUCCUGUCCGUUUGCCCCUUUCUAUAAACAAAAACCAGAGACAAAAGCAUAAUAUUCUUGGUCAAUAAUCUCAGCUAGUUUAAGCGGAACAACCUUCAAAUUAAAGGUGAGAAGGAAUAUCAAAUGUCCCAGGUGAUCUACGGGACAUAAGAGUGUGAAUCUCCAUAUUAUAUCAAAAACUAUUCUGAAGUAACCUUUGCCAUUAAAUAUCGUUGAAAGAUUUUCAAAUAUCAGAUAACAAACAGUGAAGCGCCUAACCAAUAUAUUCAUUCCCUAAUAGAGUUAUAAUCCCCGGGGAUAAACUUGAUCAUAGAGAAUAUGCGGUGAAAAUCCAAUAAUCCUUUAAUUGAGUGGACAGCCGCCAUGUUGUAUUUUGAUGCUAUAAAUUGGCGGGAAGACGCCCCUUUGACAUCAGUUGCAUUUCAGUGUUACCAACAACAAGAUCAUCACAGUUAAGAUGUCAGCAAUGAAGUAUGCAUUUGUCGCUGUCAUUUUGGCAGUUAUUUGCUUAGUUCAAGUUAGCGAAGCAAAUUACAAGACCGCUCCAAUGAAUGGUAUUAUGUUUGGCAAGAGAGGUCCUUCUGAAUACGAGAACAGAGCC